CUUCUUCAUGCCAAUCUUCUAUAAGAGUUUUCUUGUGGACUAACGUUGGUCAAUGAAGAUCCCCUUUCCUGUUUGUCUUAAUUUGGAGUUUGAGAGAAGAUGUUAAUUCAUUCAUCAUAUUUCAAACUCACUUUGCAAUAUAACUCUUCAUUAGUAGAACCAAAAAUGAUGUCAUCAAUGCAUACUUUGAGCAAAUAAGAUAUCACAAAUUCAUCUUUUUGAUGCAUAGAUUUAUCACUAUUACUUCCUAUCAAAAAGGUUGCUUAAGCUUUUAUAUAUCAUGCUUUUGAUGCUUGUUCCAAAUCACAUAUUGCUUUAUCAUAUAUGUAAUGUGUAUUUUUAAAUAUGGUGGUUAUUUUUCAUAGAUCUCCUUUUUAAUGA
rnacentral:lncRNA from 1 species